GAUUAUCAAACGAAGAUGGAAUCAACUUAACUUUAUCAAACAGAUAGCUGAAAAGUCCCCGCCCAUUCGCCGGUGGCUCCAGUCGGUUUUCAGUCACUCGGACCAUUUCGUAUCUACGAAAUGAAAGGUAUUCGAGGAUAAGACCUCCUUUUAGCGGCCCCGACAAUCCUGUGGGAUUGCCACUCCAACGUGACUGGGCAAGAUGACGCGGAUGUGCUGGCCAUUCAGCGAAUUGGGUGUUGAUGAAAAGACUCCCAUGAUCAAGGUGCAGAGUGCAAUAGCAGCUCCGCUGUUAACUACUGGGCAAGUUUACUAACUGUAAACCACUUUGCGAGUUUGUCCAUUUGUUCUUAUAUCCGCAGUGGUCGCCUAUCUAUU